UUCAGAACGGAGGCCGUCAUCCCAAUUGAGCUUAAACUCCCGUCGGCAUGGGUCGUGGCAUUCAACGAACAUCAUAAUUCGCAAGGUCUUAAAGCCAACCUUGACUUGCUGGAAGAAAAGUGGGAGGUAGCUCAAGUUCGGAUGGCAGCCUACAGACAGAAAGUCGCCCGCUAUUACAAUUCUUGGGUCAAGAAUAAAGCCUUUAGAGCAG
rnacentral:lncRNA from 1 species